rnacentral:rRNA from 1 species
AACGAACGCUGGCGGCGUGGAUAAGACAUGCAAGUCGAGCGGGAUCGUUCUUGUAGCAAUACAGGGGCGGUUCAGCGGCGCAAGGGUGCGUAACACGUGGGAAAUCUGCCGAGAAGUGGGGGAUAGCUCGCCGAAAGGCGAAUUAAUACCGCAUGUGAUCAGCUAAGACAUCUUAGCGACAUCAAAGCCGGGGCAACCUGGCGCUUCUUGAUGANCCCGCGGCCUAUCAGCUAGUUGGUUGAGGUAAUGGCUCACCAAGGCUUUGACGGGUAGCUGGUCUCAGAGGACGACCAGCCACACUGGAACUGAGACACGGUCCAGACACCUACGGGUGCAGCAGUCGAGUAAUUUUUCUCAA